UACGGGAGGCAGCAGUGGGGAAUAUUGCACAAUGGGCGCAAGCCUGAUGCAGCCAUGCCGCGUGUAUGAAGAAGGCCUUCGGGUUGUAAAGUACUUUCAGCGGGGAGGAAGGCGAUGUGGUUAAUAACCGCGUCGAUUGACGUUACCCGCAGAAGAAGCACCGGCUAACUCCGUGCCAGCAGCCGCGGUAAUACGGAGGGUGCAAGCGUUAAUCGGAAUUACUGGGCGUAAAGCGCACGCAGGCGGUCUGUUAAGUCAGAUGUGAAAUCCCCGGGCUUAACCUGGGAACUGCAUUUUGAAACUGGCAGGCUUGAGUCUCGUAGAGGGGGUAGAAUUCCAGGUGUAGCGGUGAAAUGCGUAGAGAUCUGGAGGAAUACCGGUGGCGAAGGCGGCCCCUGGGACGAGACUGACGCUCAGGGUGCGAAAGCGUGGGGAGCAAACAGGGAUUAGAUACC
rnacentral:rRNA from 1 species